rnacentral:lncRNA from 1 species
UGUAGAGGAGCUGGGAUCAGCUCGGAUUCCUCGACUGUGUCCUUCUCCCCGGUGGGAUCACUUCAGGACUCCUCCGCAGCCCUUUGGUCGUCUGGGAUGAGAGCUCCCGACCAAGCGCCUGGAACAGCGGCUGGCGAUAGAUUGGACGGUGGCGACAGGAGGUCCUUUAAGAUCCACUCCCAGCUCAUCGGGACUGCUGCCGCCGCCGCCGCCGCCGCCGCAGGAUCGCAGACCGUGGUGAUCAUGUUGUGUCAACAUCACAAUGAAGGAGCUUAAUCGGUUCCAGUCAAGUCAGUUCUUGCUUGCCAAUAGUUGCGUGAUCAACAACGAACAAGACCUCAAGGGAGAUGCAUCCGGAGCGGAGCCACCUACACCAGCCGGGCAACACUUCAGACUCUUUUCCUGACUCGAUGGUCAAGAAAGCAGAUUCUCAAAUAUAUUCCGCUGGGUUUCCCACGCAAUACUGACGACCUCAGCUCUGACUCCUGGGUCUUUUGGACUGGCUCCUUCCACAAUUCGACUUUUGUGUUUUGAAUGGGGCGGAUGGAUAGGUGGGUGGGUGCGGGGCAAACCGUGAAAUUUCCGCGGUGGUCAGUUAUGUGUCGCCUCUCCUUUCCACACAUUUUUUCCUUUUCUUUUCGCCGUCCGCUUUGAGCACCCAGUCCGCCUUCCGGAGGCGUCUUUCUGCCUUUUAAACGUGCAUGCUUUUUCUCUCCCUCCGCUUUGAGUUCCAAAGGGAGUGGACCGAACCGAGGGCCCCAGCGACACCCUUCCACAAUGGGUUGGGAAGGUGGGAUUCCCACCCGCUCGGGUUUGAUCAUCAGGGCAACACAGGUAAAUCUGAUUAGUUGUGUCUGGAAAGGUAUACGCUUUAUUCACUUCCGUUUUGCUGGCCACGAUAAAAGGACUGAACCAGCUGAGGGAGAUGCGGGGAAGCGGUACCAAACCCAUCCUUUAGGUUAUAUACAAGGAAUCGGGCCAGAAAGUGGGGAAGGAGCCAGGCGCCUCUUGAAACGACCCCCUCCCCCAAGAGAGCCUCUGGGAGAGAAAAGGCGGCGACUAGGCCGGGCCCCCGACCUGCCUCUCGGCGUGUCUCCUCCUGUCUCGCUCUCCCCAGCCAUGGCUUCCACCAGCUUUUCACUCCGCGCAGCGACGCUGAUGGCAGCGCAAAGCCGUCCAGCAAAGCCGGUCAGGACCCAGGCUGGCGGGCACGCCUCUCUUUGGGAAUUCGAGGGCCCGAAGGGGGCUCCGACGGCCUCCUAGGGGUGCCCAGGAAGCAAAGACAGACGGGGAGACCGGGAUCGCCACGUGGGGAGCCCCUGCCGUCGUGUCCCUCAAGAUCCCUCCGGCCGCAGCUCUCCCUUCGGUCGCUCCGAAUGGUUGUGCGCCCCGCGCUUCUUUCCCACACCGUGAAGCCCAGAGCAAUAGAAGCCACUGGACUUCUGGCGCAUCUGGAGGAAAGACGUCCCCCUCUUUGCUGUCCAUUUCGGUGUCCUGGCAACUCAAAGGCUACCACGUUUCGCUUGGCAAACACUUCGGCGGACCGAAGUGGGCUGGCUGCCUUCCACUGAAGGCUAAUGCCAAACAAAACCUGAUCGUCUCUAAGGUGCCGCGGGAAAGAUUUUCUUCGUUGCUUUUGCUGCAACCGGCGAACACCGUUACGCCCGCUCUUGCCGACGAGGAGGUCAAAGCCGUGUCUCGAACCUCCGGGACUUCCUGAAAAGGAACUCGGACGUCCAUUUCAAAAGAGUCUAGGGGUCAGGGACGGGGACGGGGGGCAGCCUAGUCAGCUGGUGGCCUAUCGCAGCCAAACCAGUCCAGACGUCUUGGGAGACCUUAAAAAGGAAUAGGUUCCAUUUGACAGAAACUUUCGUGGAUAGAAGUGGCCUCUUGCACCCCCCCCGCCCCCCGUAAGCUUAUGCCAAACGCAUCUUCCUAGUCUGGAAGUUGCCACAAGACUUCUUUACCUUGCCUCCGCCUUCCACCUCGGCUUGGGGGCAGCGGGAAGGGAGAGCUUUAGUCGCCAGAUUGUAGAAAUCUUGGAUUUAGGAAUCGGGCCAGUUCUUGGGAGGAGGGGCCUGGGAGGCUGCCUAGAGAUUGCCGCCUUCUGUCUUGGCUCCGUUAGCUCACGUCCACCUUUCCAAGCCUAGCGCUCUAGAGAGACGUUAGCUUCACGCUUCUAUCCUCCUCCUCCAACAACGGCCAGUGGGGAUAAUGGGAGGUGUCGUCCAGCACUUCUGUCAACUCCUAGGCUUUUAGACGGCUGCCUCUUUUCAGUGCACAGCUGGAAUGGAGGAACAAUCCUACACACACACACACACACAAAAGAGGGGGGGAUAUGAGAACUACAGUAUCUGAAUGCGGCCCCUUCGGGCCUGAUGCUCACGCCCUCCGGGUCACUGCACUGGCCUCCUUUUAUCUCACUAAGCAGCUUGGCCCAAAACUCUAUUCCGACUCUUGCACCGCGAGCAUCGCUUCAGGUCCAGGAUCUUUGCUCCCUUUCUCUAUCCUCCCCCCCCCCCGUUGCCGCAGGGCUCAGGACGCAGGGGAGGGAAGGGUUGCGGACCAAGUUUUACACGAACAACUGAAUACAGUACCAGUUUACAGGGAACACAGAAUAGUUCAUGAAAAGAAUAAUCAAGCAAGAGAGACCUCUGGGUGUGGGCGUCUCCAAAGACGAAAGAGGGAGCACGGGGACAGCUAAACCUUUAAUUGUGAACCGCUCGCUGUCCUCGAACCUAAACCCUGGUAUGGGAUCGCAAAUACAUACGCCAAGCGCGGCAGCAGUCAUUCUGCCCGCAUGUCUAUACACACUUGCCUGGAAGCCCCAUAGGAUACAUCAAGGGCUGAUUUAGCACUAAACUGCCUACUAGAGUGUCCAGAAGGAAUUCGGGAUGGGACGCGGAAGGAGCAACAAGAGAGCCUGUCCGCACACUGCGUGAGUAAAACGCGCGCCACUAGAACACAACGUGCAUCUGUGUACCUUACAAUCAUAAGUCUAGGAUAAGGGAGCUCCCUUCUCCUCCCCUUGGGGCUCCCACUUGCCAACGACUGCAGUGAUACCACCCCAAGUUAUGGUGGUACUUAGCAAAUGUUGCUGAGCGUUGUUGAAGAGCACACACCUUUUUCAAAACAGCGCUUUUAAAUCGAAUGAUCAGCUUUUACAGCCGUAGCUCAAGCGCCUGAGAAAGACAGAAGAAGGUGUCAAAACAAACAAAAACCAAAAAAAGAGGACUGCGCCGCUUCAAAUUAUUAGGGAUUGUUUUAGGUGUGCGUGUGUGAAUCAAAUUCUUAAACAGCACCACUGCAAGGGUAGCUCCUAUCACUGCUAGAAAGAAGGUCCAAUCAGAACUUUCCCCCUAUAGUUAACUUUCUACGUGCACGGAGUUUCUGUUAUGCACGCAACCACAGGCAAUCAGGUAGACCACCCCCACCCCUCCCCGCUCCAUCUGAAGAGCAGUUUGGUCUUUCGUGACGAUCUCUUGCUGUCAUUCCAGAUUCCAACGUGGUGGUGGAGACCCAGCGUUAGAAGAAAAGGUGCAUCAUGCCCAUAGGUGAUGAAUCUCUUUAUCCUGUCCAAACGAGGACGUCAACAGCGUGGAAAAUGGCACAACACUCGCAAAAUGCCAGGCUUGAACCCUUGUUUUUUUUAAAAAAGGGGAUACUCAUACAAAUAUUUCUUUUUCUAAAAAGCAAGAUGGAUUUUACGACUCUUUGGUAAGGCUGUAAAGUGGCUGAAAAUUCAUGGAGGGGGUAAAAACAACUAACAAUAUGAAUUGGUUUUAGAUCACCCUGCCCAGUUUAGGUUUUGAUACAUCUACCUGAGAACAAAUUGUACUGAACUCCCUGAGGCUGACUUGUGUGUAGACAUGUGGAGGGGUUGCACUGUGUGAGAUACAGCAGUGGCUGAAAUCAUGAAUAUGGCCUGAUUUUUCUUCUGCCACUGUUGGAAAGCACCUUAGGAAUGGCAGGAAGGAAAUCGCAAUUUGGGGGGCACAGAAGACUCAGCCUGCGGGGGUGAGUUUUCCAAACUGAGAAAAGGGUUUUGUGAUGGCUAUCCUUAAGUGGCAUUCCUGUACAGAUUUUUAAAAAAGAAUAAAUGCAGCAUAAGUAUUCCUUUGGAAAGGAAC